GACGAACGCUGGCGGCGUGCUUAACACAUGCAAGUCGAACGGAAAGGCCCUGCUUUUGUGGGGUGCUCGAGUGGCGAACGGGUGAGUAACACGUGAGUAACCUGCCCUUGACUUUGGGAUAACUUCAGGAAACUGGGGCUAAUACCGGAUAGGAGCUCCUGCUGCAUGGUGGGGGUUGGAAAGUUUCGGCUGUUGGGGAUGGACUCGCGGCUUAUCAGCUUGUUGGUGGGGUAGUGGCUUACCAAGGCUUUGACGGGUAGCCGGCCUGAGAGGGUGACCGGCCACAUUGGGACUGAGAUACGGACCAGACUCCUACGGGAGGCAGCAGUGGGGAAUAUUACACAAUGGGCGGAAGCCUGAUGCAGCAACGCCGCGUGCGGGAUGACGGCCUUCGGGUUGUAAACCGCUUUCGCCUGUGACGAAGAGUGAGUGACGGUAAUGGGUAAAGAAGCACCGGCUAACUACGUG
rnacentral:rRNA from 1 species